rnacentral:rRNA from 1 species
UACGGGGGGAGCAAGCGUUGUUCGGAUUUACUGGGCGUAAAGGGCGCGUAGGCGGCCCUCUAAGUCGAACGUGAAAUCCCUGGGCUCAACCCAGGAACUGCGUCCGAGACUGGGGGGCUAGAAUCCGGGAGAGGGAUGUGGAAUUCCAGGUGUAGCGGUGAAAUGCGUAGAUAUCUGGAGGAACAUCGGUGGCGAAGGCGGCAUCCUGGACCGGUAUUGACGCUGAGGGCGCGAAAGCCAGGGG